UACGUAGGUGCAAGCGUUAAUCGGAAUUACUGGGCGUAAAGCGUGCGCAGGCGGUUCGGAAAGAAGGAUGUGAAAUCCCAGAGCUUAACUUUGGUAACUGCAUUUUUAACUUACCGGGCUAGAGUGUGUCAGAGGGAGGUGGAAUUCCGCGUGUAGCAGUGAAAUGCGUAGAUAUGCGGAGGAACACCGAUGGCGAAGGCAGCCUCCUGGGAUAACACUGACGCUCAUGCACG
rnacentral:rRNA from 1 species